rnacentral:tRNA from 1 species
GGGAGUAUAGCUCAGCUGGUAGAGCACCGAGCCGAUAACUCGUAGGUCGCAAGUUCGAAUCUUGCUACUCCCACCA